AGCUGCAUGACCUGUCUUUGGAGGUCAGCAACGUCACCACUGGUGAUGGUGGGCAGUACCAGUGUGUGGCCAGCAAUGUGAAUGGGGUCACAAGGGCAUCCACCUGGCUUCUGGUUCGAGAGGCCCCUCAAGUCAGCAUCAAUGCCAGGUCCCAGCGCUUCUCCCAGGGUGUGGAGGUGAG
rnacentral:lncRNA from 1 species